UGUAAAACCUAACAGUUGUACUAGCUCAUAACUAAUGAGGUCAUUACAGUCAAAUGUCCUUAUGCAGUUGAACAAACUAUUAAUUAUUGAGCUCUGUUGACAUUUAUGCCACUUUAAUUGAAUAGGGCUCAAAAUUUGAUAGUUAAUUUGUGUGGAGCACUCAAAAAGUUUAGGAGUAGUGGCAUGACGUCAUGACGUGGUGGGUGGGUCUUAUCUCUGCCUCAGGAAAGCUGAGUCAGCCAUCUUGAAUUUGCCUUCAUGCGGAGAAGUUUUCAUGGAAGUUUUUACAGUUUAAUUUGUUUUUAUUCAUUUGCAAUGCAUUUUUUAUCCCCUCACUUCAAACCAAGACCUCAGUUUUUUCAUCUUUGACCUGCCGUCAUUUCAGCGCCGUCUUAUCAGCCCUGAUUUGGCUCGAGUGUUUGGUUGUGAGAUGAUCAUCUAGGAAUCUUUUUUAAAAGUUCAGAUAUUGGACUUGAGUGCUACAGAGAGUCAGCGUUUCACCAUCAGACAGUCGCAAUAGAGUUUCACCGAAUCAACAACAUUAACCUGCGGAAUUAAUUCUACAAGGAGCUGGACAGACACACGCCUAAACUCAUCACCUUGUUCAGAGAC